UGAGCUAUUCGACUGGCCGCCCUUCGGGGAGGAAAGUCCGGGCAGCGAAGAGAGCGACAGUUGCUAACGGCAACCGAGAGUAAUCUUAGGGAAAGUGCCACAGAAACUAAACUACCCGGUAACGGGCAAAGAUGAAACGAGUGGGGUAAGAGCCCACAGUCCUUCGUGGUGACACGCGGGAAAGGUAAACCCUGUCGGCUGCAAGGUAGUAUCCGCCUAAUGAGUUUCUCGCUACGGCGGUGCGUUAAAUAAUCCGCGUUGAGCCGUGUGGCGACAUGCGGCCAAGAUAGAUGGUCAGUUAUCCCCUAAAGGGAGAACAGAACCCGGCUUAUAGGAUAGCUUACAAC
rnacentral:RNase_P_RNA from 1 species